CGGCCGCUCCGAGUCUUCCCUUUCUCUGCCCUCACUGCUGCCUCCUUUCCAGGCUUCGCACCAAGCCCCGCCCCAAGCAAGCAAAUAAAUCUAUCAAAACCGGGCGCACCCUAAUAGGCUGCUAGCUGGUCCCUUGGAAGAGAUCAGCGGGUGCCCUGGCUCGGGGGAGACCAGGAGACCCUGCCAGGUGUGAGCAACGGGUAAUUACAACCUCCGCUCCGGGAGGGCUUCCUACGUGCCGCGCACCACGCUAGGGAAGCUUUCCAGGCAUUUUCCCUUUUAAGCCGCCAGUUAACCCUUCAGUUAUUGAAAAUCCAUUUCACCUAUGGUGGAGAUGAACCCAGGGAAGGACUAAGGUCUUGCCCAAGGUGACACCAAUGAGCAACAGGCCUGGGAUUGGAAUCCAGUGUCCCAGCGCUGAAAUAGAGUUUUGCCUUCUAAGCCAGCAGGCGCUGACCGCCAGCCCAGCCGCCUCUCCCGCGGCGCACGCACUGUCCAGCCGCCUUCCUGGCAGUCAAGUCUGGGCAGGCGGUUGCACGGCGCUGGCGGCAGGAACUGGGCCGGGGGCUCCAGGCGCCAGCAGCCCGUGCAUCUCGCUCCUGGCUUCCCAGGCAGAUGCGCGGCUCUGGCCAGGUGCCACGCCCGCCUCUGGCCUCUGCCUGCGCCGCUUCUUGCGGUCUUUACUGCAAUUCCAGCGGCCCCACCUGACCGGGACGGAAGGGUGCGUGGGGCAGGCGCGGGACUCCGCGCCUCUCCGGGCUCCCGCCACCUCCGCGCCGGUCCCCACAGCCUGCCUGGCAUGUCACAGGCGAUGGAUCACCAUUCUUUACGUGAAUGAAUGACUGCUUAUCGAAUGCUGGCUUGGCACCCACUGGGUCGCGGGAGGAGGGACGCAAAGCAGAAAGGCUCGGAGACCGAUCUUCUGGCUCAGGGUCGCUAAAAGGUCAGGGGUCGCGUCCUGUUCCUGUUACCUUUAGCACGCACUUCAUGGUGGCACGUGGGCUGCUUCAACACGGGUGGGAAUCGUGAUCCGUGCAGGCGUCAAAACAACUGGCGGGCGAGAGAGGGGGUCUGGGGGACAUGGAUCAAGCGGAGACCAAGGAGUCUUGGGAGUGGCCAAGCAGGGAGGCAGCCGACCUCUGGACAGAGGAAGCCUGGGCACUGGGCGCUGGGUGGCCUGAGACUGAUCAGAACUCCGGGCUGACUCACUGGUUGUGGGACCUGGGACAUACAUUCCCGCACCUUUUGGUGUCACAGUUUGAUCUGCAAAAUGAGGGUGACAAUACACACUUCCGAGGAUUCUGUGAAACUGCGUUAUACUUAGUGCACCUAUAGAAAUGCUCUGUAUAAAUGUAUAUAACCUGUAUUACGAAUUAUUCAUUUAUUACAUGUAGUAAUUUAAAUGUUCUAUAUAAAUGCCAGCGGGCACCUAUACCCCAUAUAAAUGCUGUUAUAAACACUAAGUAAAUAUGGAGCCGCGCCACCUGAUGGGAGAGCCAGCUGCACACGUGCAGCAGUAUCAGAGUUUUGCUUGUGUUCUUUUAAAGGAAACUCUAUCCUCCCUUCAGGGCGACCAAAAAUAGACCUUUCUACCCAGCACCGCAACAGAAUGAGCCCAUUGGAUUCUCGCUACGAAUGUGAACAGUAAUCAUUAUCAUCCCCAUUUCAUAAAAGACAAAACCAAAUCCGGGCAGCAACUGAAACUUACAGAUCUAAAACAAUGCUUCAUUUCCUGCUGAAUCCCCCAAAAUGUUCCGUCCUCCAGAUAAGAUGGCCAAAACCCUGACCUCAGGAAGGCCACUGCUUCUCGCUUUCUUUCUAUGGCCAGCAGCCUCCUGCCUGCUCUGCUUGCAGAAGGACACAGUCUGACAGUUGCUCUCUGCCCUGGUGGGGGCAUCCAGGUCACCAUGAUCAGUGUCUGGGCCACUGGCCCCACUGGGCUACCUACUUCAGUACUGACCUGCAGAGUCUGUAUUUUCUGUGCAAGAGCCAGAGGGAUCCUUCAGAAGCUGGGGCAGGUCGUGUCCCAGCAGCUACCAGGGAUUCUCACGGCACUUAAACUACUCCAGCGUCCUCAGCUGACCUGAAGAGCACUCCCUGCAGUGACCCUGGGCUUCUGUCUCAGUGCCUCCCAUUAUCACCCUGCUCCUUGUGCUGUAACACAUUAUGAGCCUAGACUGGGCUUGUGCUUGUCUCAGCUCUUUCCCUUGCCUGACACCCUCUUUCCUGCACACACACACACACACACACACACACCCAUGGGGCUCACACUUACUGUACUCAGGCCUGUGCUCAGAUGUCCCCUCCUCAGACUGCCUUACUGGACCAUUUCAUCUGAAUGGCAUUUCCUGCUUUUAUCCAGCUUUAUUUUUCUUUGUAGCCCUUAUCUCUGCUGUGCAUUAUGUUACAGACCUGUGCAUCACCCAUUGCCUAGACACACGACCAACUCUCUGAGGUCAGAAGUACGCAUGUCUCCUUCACGUCUGAAUGUCCAGCACCCAAAAUGGUCCAGGACACCUGCUAGACAUUCAGUGCACUGUUGAACGAACGCCUGCACACUCUCCCAGCAGUUGUGUGCUGUUGUGGGGAUUGUGUGAGCCCAUGCUAGGGCUUGGGAAUGAUGGAAGCGCGCACCCCAGUUUCAUGCACUGAAAUCCAGCCCCCAUGUUUUGAGAUAGUAGAGUGAAAUCUAAUCUGACUGCGAUGUGGAGAGAUGGGUCUUUGGAAGGUGAUCAGGAUUGGAUAGGGUCCCCAGACAGAGCCCCCAUGACCAGAUCCUGGUGGCUUCGUUAAAAGGAGAGGCCAUGAAAUGCACACCUGUGUACCUGUGUCUGGCUUGCUAUGCCCAGCACCUUAGGAUUCUGGGCAGGAAGACCAUUACCUCAUGCAGGCCUUCAACUUGGAUCAGACCUGUGAGCUAAAAUACACCUCUUUUCCAAGUGCCAUGAACAAGAAUGAUCCUGGCACUGGCAAGGCCAGGCUGAGCAGGGUAGGGCCCAGCCCUCAGGCGGCCUAUGACACAAUCAGUGUCCAAGGAGGAGCUGCUUUGGUGGGCUCAGGGGCAGAGGAGGCCUUGGGAAGCAGGAGAAGCCUGAGAAGUGAGCUGGAUCUUGGUUGAAGUUGGCCAGAAGGAAAAGAGAGCUCUAGACAGGGAGGCAAUGAUUGGGACACCCUGGGCAAUGAUUGGGAGGGCAGGGCCGGUGUGGAGGUGGCUAGGACAUGGCGGGGAAUUGCUGAGAGAUUGAAAGCAUAGAACAAAAUAUUGGCAGAGUUUCAGAACCGUCACCCCUGAACCUCCAGUGUGGAGGGUGUCCUGGGAGGGGCUUUGGGCUGGUGCCAUGGAAAGACCACUGUGGUCACCCCAGAGGGAAGAAGGAGGCAGUUUCUUCUUUUAAUGUUGAGACAGGGUCCCACUCACUCACUCUUACUGGUCUUAAACUGGCAAUUCUCCUAGCUCUGCCUCCCGUGUAGCUGGGAUUACAGGCGUGUGCCUCCGUGCCUGGCUGGCUGUGUUUUUCUUCACAUUCUUCUUCCGUUUUGUUUUGGGGUUUUUUGGUACCAGGGAUGGAACCAUGGGCUUGCAAGGCAGGCACUUAUGCCUGCUGAGCUAAAUCCCCAGCCCCUCUUCACAUUCUUCUUAAGAGGUAAAAACCUUUUAAAUCCUGGAUUCCAUGUCCCAUCCGCUACCACCUGACAUUUUGACCUUUUAAGACAGUUAUGAAAACACACCUAAGUGUUUCCUUCCCUCGAUGGUUUGGAGGGCGAAGUUCCUAAGGCCACGUGAUAAAGGCAUGGUCCCGAAGGUGGCAUUAUUGGGAGGCAGAGGAAACUUUAGGAGCUGUAGUCUAGUGGGAGGCCUCAGGCACUGGAGCAGGCACUUGAAGGGGACUGCUGCACCCGGACUCCUCCUCCUCCUCCUCCAUUUGCUUCCUCAUCAGGACGUGAGCAGUUUGCUGUGGGCCCCCUGCCAUUGCUACCUGAGGUGGCCCCUGGAGAUCCAAGAUUUGCACUGCAACCUUCAGAAUGGUGAGCCAGCUAAAUACCUCAGAUGCUUCACUAUCAAGAUGGGACACUGACCACCACACUUCAGUCCAUGACUUGGCUGCCCAUCUCUUCUGUUUUAUUUGCAUCUAGGUGAAGAUUUUCAGGUUGAAUGUUACCUGAAAUAAUUGCCCACGCGACCCCAACAUUUAAGAUGGUCUAUACUUUUUAGAAAUAAAAAUAGAAGUGUUUGUUUUAUUCCCAUAUCUAGAAUGACACUACAAUGCAAUUUCCUACAUUCAUUUAGUUUAAUAACCAGUUUAAUGACCAUUUUAAUUGUUUUCAUUGUCGAAGUCAUUUGCACGUAUUCCAGAAUUUUCCAAAACUAUGAUGAAAUCAGCCUUCAACUCACCAUCCCAGCACACUGCAAAUAAUUUAGCUUGCUGGCUUCCAUGAGUUUAGGAACUAGGACAGAAGCAGCCAGCACAGUUCCCGGGUCAGCCACGAGAUGAGGACAGGUGACAGCUGACACCCCCUAGGGUGCUGUGCUGUCAACGUUCUGGGACAUAGCUGGAAAUCUCUUCCAUCUCCAAUCCCACAUCCGGGUGCUGUGUGUGAAUUCAACCAGAAGCAGAGGGCCUGGCUAAUCCUGAGUCCACUGAAAUACCACAAAUGGUAGCUGACACUGUGACUUACAGCCACGGUUCCUUAUCUGUGUUACUCUCCAGGCUGAAGGAGCACGGUCGCCCGUGGAGGCAACGUCCCCCAGGUCAAGGCUUUGGAGAGUAGAUCCAAAGCACAGUAGUUCCUGUGUCACUGGGGGCAUGUCCCAAGCCAUCAGGAGACACCCAAACCUCAGAUUGCAUCGAGGAGGUUAAUAACUAAUAAUAAAAGGGAACAAUUAUAGCAAGAGGCUGUAAUAAAACACUUAUGGAUUGAUUCUGGAAUUUUCCAGUUAAUGUUUCCAGAUCAAGACUGAACAGGAAUUUUCCUGCAGAAAGUGAAACUGGCUGUGCAGAGGCUCCUGGAAACACAUGCGGGGCCUUCGGGGUCACCGCAGCUUGGGUGAAACACACAGGACUUUUCUUCUCCAGGCGUGAGAGUUCCUUGGCCCUUUGCCAUACACAAUUUCUGCAGAAAUGCCGGUGGGUGUAACUCUCUGUCGCCUUGGUUGGCCUGGCAAGGCGCACGGGGACUGACCAUAUAAUUGCUGUGUAAACAGACAGGAAGCAUCACAGUACUUGUUCUGGGCAGGUCAACAAAUACUUAGGUCCUGAAUCAUGAGUGUGUUACACACAUACACACACACAGAAUCCCUUUGUAACAGUCUGGCAGGAAGUAAAUGCUAUUUAAAAUUUUAAUUUGCAGUUGAGAGAAUAGCAUGGCCUUUGCAAUUCAAAUUAAAAGUAUGUCAUCAUGUUGUACCCAUAAAUAUGGAUCAUUAUUAUGUAGCAAUUAAUUUUUAAAUAAAUUUAA